GCCGAGAUUGCACUACUGCACUCCAGCCUGGGCAACAGAGCAAGCCUCCGUCUCAAAAAAAUAAAAUAAAAUAAAAUAAAAUAAAAUAAAAGAAAGAAAAAAAUUAGCCAGACGUGGUGGCGGGCGUCUGUAGUCCCAGCUUACUCGGGAGGCUGAGGCAGGAGAAUGGCGUGAACCUGGGAGGCGGAGCUUGCAGUGAGCCGAGAUUGCACUACUGCUCUCCAGCCUGGGCAACAGAGCCAGACUCCGUCUCAAAAAAAAAAACAAACAAACCACAAAACCCCAAAAUUAGCGGUGUGGUGGCAUGUGCCUGUAGUCCCAGCUACCCGGGAGACUGAGACAGGAGAAUUGCUUGAAUCAGGGAGGCGGAGGUUACAGUGAGCCGAGAUCGUGCCACUACGCUCCAGCCUGGGCAACAGAGCAAGAGGGAGGGAGGAAGGAAGGGGAGGAAGGGAAGGAAGGGAAGGAAGAAAGAAAGAAAGAAAAAGAAAGGCAAACUCCCAUCCCUCUCGGUGUCUGGAUCCUGAGGAAGUGCUUUAACAGGUUCAGAUUCUACACAAUUGUCAUCACCCCAAUUAAAACCAAGAAGUCCCCUCAGCUUCUCCCUUUGUUCCUGAGGUGUGCAGUAAAUAGGUGGGAAACCAAGGCAGUUGAACAGUUCUUUCUCCAAGGCUGGGGCACCUGCCAUGCCGAGUGGCCCAGACCCCUAUGUUCUAAAGAAGUCAGGCAGAGAAGCAAAAAUAAAACCACUUAAUAAAAGAAAACAAAAUUUAUGUAUAAUCUAUCUCUGCUCAACUAUUAUGAUAUCAUUAUUAUUAGGUAUUUAAAUGAGGCACUGAUGGCAGGAUAGGGAGGUAAGACAGGACAGAACUGGCUUCAUGACUUGGCAAAUUCUCUCAUCUUGGAGACACGGGAGCACCAGGAAGAAGAUGAUCAUGGAGAAAUAGCAAGACUCAGAGGUGUGGUGGGGGAAAUGCAGAGGCUGGCCUUCAAGCACACAUGGAUUAAAAUGCGGAUCCCAUUUUACUGAGUGAUGCUGUGCAAAUUCUUAACUUUCUCAUCUGUAAAAUGGGUUUAAAGAGGCUGCUGAAAGAAAUAAAUACAGCAUACAAAACACAUAGUAGAAGCAUAGCAGAGGACAUGCAGUAGGUGCUUAAUAUCUUUCUCGUGGUCCCUCCUCACUCAUCUGCCCCCCCAAUACAACACACCUGCUCUCCAUCUUCCUCAAGUUCUAAAGUUUUCCCCUUCGCAGAAGAGUAAUAUAAAACCUCCCCACUGGACGCCCAGUGCUGUGAGGGACCAUGUUAAGUGGAAGGUUUGAAUCAAAGGGCAAGUCAUUUCAUCAGUCAUCACUGCUAAAUAAGAAUCAGGCAAGUUGCCAGCUAUUUCAUACUUGGAAAUACCGUGACCUUAUAUGUAUUACACACUGCUAAAGUGUCUACCAUGAUGCCAUCAAAAUCAUCUACCAUUUUUGUGGCUUAUGACAGACUUUCUACUUUUGUAUUUGCUGUAUCUUACUGGAGGUACAGAAUAGAAAUAGCCUCAUUUGCCCAGGUGCGGUGACUCACACCCGUAAUCCCAGCACUUUGGGAGGCCAAGGCGAGUGGAUAGCUUGAGGUCGGGAGUUCGAGACCAGCCUGGCCAACAUGGUGAAACCCCCAUCUCUACUAAAAAUACAAAAAUUAGCUGGGCGUGGUGGUGCACAUCUGUAAUUCCAGCUACUCAGGAGGCUGAGGCAGGAGAAUCACUUGAACCUGGGAGGUGGAAGUUGCAGUGAGCCCAGACCGCACCACUGUACUCCAGCCUGGGCGACAGAGCUAGACCCUGUCUCAAAAAAAAGAAAAAAAAAAAUACCUUCAUUUUACUUACCGAAAAACAGGGCUUAGAGAGAUGGGUUGAUUUGUCUGAGAUAAGCUGGCAUAUAGGAAUAGCACAUAGGAUAAGCUGGCACAUAGGAUUAGGAAAGGGAAAAAGUCAACACCUGGACUAGUUAUUUCACUAAGGCAUUUGUGGUAGGGUAGGAAGAAGAGACAGGGCCUUCAUUCUCCUCCCAAACGCCUGCACACGGAGCUCUAUUAACAAGCCUGGAUGGCUUUUCCUCCAGGGCCAUGUUCUUUCCCUGCACACCACGGCCAAAAGCCUUACUCAUCCUGCACAGAUCCAGCCCCCAAACAAGUUUUAUGGUUGUUUUCUUAACAUUUAAGACCAUCUCAGUACCAUCUCCACCUUUCCUAUAAAUCUACCACUCCACUGGCAACACAUCCUUGGAUCCCGGUUAGGAGGAACGCUUGCUUCCGGAUCCACACCCUGGAGUCAAGCCUUGUGCUUCCUCUCAGAAUAAUUGUACCUGAGUCUGCUGUCUCACGCUCGACCAUGCGUGUUGACCAGUCUGCUUACAUAUUUCUCCUUGGUAGCCAUUUGUCUCUUCCUCGACAUGACUCAGCUCAUAGGAGAAAAAACCUGCUUCUCUCAGCUCCACUUAGACUUUGUCUGGCAGACUUUUUGCUAAGCACUUAAGCAGUCCCAAAUAAUCAUGUUCCCCAAAGGACUCCAAACCACUUAAGGCCAUAGUUGAGAUUGGACUUCCUCAGGGAGGAAGUGACCCGGGAAGAAACCUGCUCUUUUUAGUCUUUAUUUUCCAUGAGCAGAGGGAGAAGGGACUGGUGGUCUUGCAGAAAGAGCGCCAGGCAGGCCUGGGUUCAGUACCUGCUUUGCUCCUCCCUGGCGUGUGGGCUUGUGCAACUUAACCUCUCAGAGCCUCAGUUUUCUCCUCAAUAAAUGGUGGUAACAUCAUCUGUUCAGCCUGUAUCCAAAUAGGGCUGCUAUGAAGCUCGAGGAAGACCCCAUGAGGUGAAAAUGCUUUGAAAAUGUAACGAGCUAUAAAAAUGAGAGGUGCUGGCCGGGUGUGGUAGCUCACGCCUGUAAUCCCAGCACUUUGGGAGGCCAAGGCGGGUGGAUCACCUGAGGUCAGGAGUUCGAGACCAGCUUGGCCAACAUGCUGAAACCCCGUCUCUACUAAAAAUAUAAAAAAAAUUAGCUGGGCAUUGUGGCAGACGCCUGUAAUUCCAGCUACUCGGGAGGCUGAGGCAGGAGAAUCGCUGGAACCCAGGAAGUGGAGGUUGCAGUGAGCCAAGAUCACACCACUGCACUUCAGCUUGGGUGACAGAGCGACACAAAAAAAUAAUAAUAGUAAAAAAGAAGUAUUUUCAUUAUCACGAGGAUGUGUCAGAUUAAAACACUUUAUAUUUUGAAAACUCCAUCUCUGCCUAUAAAUUGGAGUACUCACAGGCAGACACUUUCAGAGGGAAACCCUACCCUAGGUAAGAAUGACAAAGAUAAAUUAAUUUGCUCUAUAGUAUUUCUUGAGCACCUGCUCUGUGGCAAACACUCUUCCAGGCAGGAGAAUCAGAGUAAUGAAUAAGACAGUCAAGGUCUUUGCUCUCAAAAAGCUACAUCCCGGGGGUGGGGAUAUGGGACAGAGAAUAAGCAAAUAAAGAAGAAAAACAAGGCAAGUUGUCCUUCCACUGAAGGUACAAUGGACUUUCACCAUAUUUUCCUAUUCUGAGGCUGCAGAAGCAUCAGCUGCAAAUUCAGUGAUAAUCCAAGGAAAAGACCCAGAAUUGGUGGAAAAAAGAUAGUAUUUUCCUCUUGCCGGGGGGCAAGAUAAUGCAGUUUCAGACCCGCGGCCCGUGAAGAUAUGUUGAUGAGCCAGAAGAAUGAAGGAAUGAAACAUCUGGACAAAUGAUUUAUCAGUUAUAUAAGGAUUUCUAGCCUCUGCUUGGAAGCCUUGUUGAAAGGCUCUCUUAAAAAAUAACCACAGGCUGGGCGCAGUGGCUUACGCCUGUAAUCUCAGCAUUUUGGGAGGCCAAGGCGGGUG
rnacentral:lncRNA from 1 species